UACGAGGGGGGCAAAUGUUGUUCGGAAUCACUGGGCGUAAAGGGAGCGUAGGCGGGCUUCUAAGUUAGGUGUUUAAUCCCAGGGCCCAACCCUGGUCAGGCACCUAAAACUGGGAGUCUUGAAUAGUGGAGAGGACGAUGGAAUUGGGGGUGUAGCGGUGGAAUGCGUAGAGAUCGGGAGGAACACCAGUGGCGAAGGCGGCUUCCUGGACCAGACCUGACGCUGAGGCGCGAAAGCGUGGGGAGCGAUCCGG
rnacentral:rRNA from 1 species